AGAGCUCUUCCUCCGUCACUGGACCAGACGGCAUGACUGGAACUACAUAUUUAGACCAUGCAUGCUAAUUCUUGAAAGAGAAGCCCUGCCCCCGUCCUUCUGGCAUCACCGCAUCCUUCGUGCCAUUGCAAAGGGCCGGGGCCACACCUUGAAGCCUCAAAACACACCCCCGGUACAGCCAAAAAUGUCGCCGUCCAGCGACCAUUUGCAAGGUCUUUGUGCUGACAUGGCGGACUGGAACAUGCCCCUGCGUGCACCCUCCCUCGCCGAAAGUCCCGUGCACCUGCCAUCGCGUCUGCAAUCCGGAAGAGUAUUUCUGCUGAGGGAUGAGAGAGAAACGAAGGCCUGCUAAGCCCCAAACCCAGGACUGCUUCAUACCAUUUGCUUUCAAAUGCUUUGCAACGAGAGAGAACCUGACCCGGCCCCCGGAGGUGUCAUGUUUGUGCGUCGUUCUUCCAGAGCAGAGGCAGCGGCUUCAAAACCACGUGGGGAGGAGGCAGAAGCUGCAGUGCCAAUCUCUCUUUUUUCAAGAACCCCAAAACCUAAAAUCUAAGAAGAGUGAAAGAAGACCACAAUCUUAACUUGGGCUCCGCAGGAGGGACUGUUUAAUGCGACGCACUCUUACUUUAGCACUCUGUGGCUCCCUGUCUGGAGACCUGCACGUGUUCCGCUACUGCUGAAAUUCUUGCCCGUAGCGGAGAGCCCAACGUUGCCACUGCACCAUCCCCAUUUCUUGCCAAGGUGGACUGGUUGUGCGACCGAGAAAACCUUGAGACGAGUUCAGCACCAGAGACUCUCAACUGGUCCCCGUUUAAGUUUGCUUCCGACCAUGGACCACUGAGCAUUGUAGAAAAAUAAGCCAUUUGAGACAAUGAGCAAAGGAAAUUAUGGAGGGAAGAUGG
rnacentral:lncRNA from 1 species